rnacentral:RNase_P_RNA from 1 species
GCUGACCAGACAGUCGCUGCUUCGUCGUCGUCCCUUCGGGGAGACGGGCGGAGUGGAGGAAAGUCCGGGCUCCAUAGGGCAGGGUGCCAGGUAACGCCUGGGGGGCGUAAGCCUACGACCAGUGCAACAGAGAGCAAACCGCCGAUGGCUCGCUUGCGGGCACAGGUAAGGGUGAAAGGGUGCGGUAAGAGCGCACCGCGCGGCUGGCAACAGUCCGUGGCACGGUAAACUCCACCCGGAGCAAGGCCAAAUAGGGGUUCACAUGGUACGGCCCGUACUGAACCCGGGUAGGCUGCUUGAGCCAGUGAGCGAUUGCUGGCCCAGAUGAAUGACUGUCCACGACAGAACCCGGCUUAUCGGUCAGCUUC